UGGAUAAAAAGGUUAUAUAUAAGAAAAUAUUCUGCUCCCUGUCUUACACUGAAAGCAUUUUGUAUAAAAUGGAUUGGCAUUUGCUGAUUCAUUGUUUUAAAACCUAGGAUCAGUGUCUGCUGAAUGGCAAUUCAUGUGGUCCCAUGGUCCUACAUCACAUGUCCAAGCAACUUGUGAGAAAUAAUGGAGAGAGCUUUAAAAGGCUGCAGAGAGGUAUAGACAGACAUAUCCCAGAGUUGUGGCACCCGUUAAUAGAUCAAACAAGCCCAUGCAGCUGUGUUUUGAUCAGUGAAAAGGUUUCCUGGCAUCCACGAACUGAAAUCGCCUUUUGGCUCUUGUCUGGUUUCAGGUCAUUACACCUCGCUGGAGUUUUCUCUGGUUUAAUGUGCACCUCAGGAAGCACAGAGG